rnacentral:lncRNA from 1 species
CUCAUUGAUGUGCAGUGGACCCCCAUUCAAUGAUGACAAUAUACUUAACACAUAAGGGUAAGAAAAGUCUCUAUGACUCAUACAAUGAAAUUUUCCAGAGAGACCUGAGUAGCAUGCAAGAAAGUCUAAGAGUGAUUGGAGAGACACAAGAGGACCACUGGCUUUGGCUUUUAUUGUGAAUAGGCAGUGUUUCCACUGGCCAUGGCUUGUGUGGCUUGAACUUAUUAGCUUGUUCAAAUGUGGGGCAAGAGAGAGAAAGUGAUGGGUGGGCUUUAAAGCUGUUAGCAGUUUUCACACAUUAAAUUAGCAGUAUUAAUGGAAAAGGAAAAUUCUCACUGGCAAAAAGGCAUUAGUUGUAUAUAAAAUUUCUGAAUUAAAUAUCCAAAUGCAAAUAAAUCACAGUGAUUGAUAAGAUGUCUAUGUAAAAGCUACUAAAAAUGAAGCACUGUUAUUAAUAUAUAUUCUAGUUUGAUUGAAACAGUUCACUGAGAAAAGCAAAUGUACUAUUACAAUUCAUGCUCAGUUUAUUUUUGGCUUUCUUUGACUUUUUGACUACUAUCAUCUUACUAUGUGUUCCUAUAACAAGAAAUCAUUGAUGGGAUAACCUACUCCCAAUUUUAUGAUUUUAAUUGUUGAUAUAUUUUGAUAUUUUUAGUAAAAGAUAGACCUACAUAAAAUAUUACAUAUGAAAGGAUCAUUAUAAUAAAUAAAUAUACUUUCUAUACAAUAUCCAUAAAUAAAAAGGGUAAAUUUCAGGCAAAGAGUCCCUUUAUUUAGUAUUCAGAAAAUUCAUUUAUGUGGAUCUUAUAUUGCAAACAAAUUCUGAGCAAUUUUAUCUUAAUCACACUCUCCACUGAAAAAUAAAGUUCUACUAUUUAAUAUUUCUUAGAUAUUUUAAUUUAGUGAUAAUUGAAUAAUAAGCUGUACAAAAAUUCUUAAACAGUUGCUAUGCUACUAUACUUUUCAUAUUUUGUUAGAAAAUUACUUCGCUUUUUAAUGACAAACUUGUAGUAAAGUUUAAAACCAUAAACAUUUUAUGUUUGUAUAUGAAUGCAAGCAGUUGGAAGAGAAAUACUUUUAUAUUUUUGUUAAAAAAUUCAUUAGACUUUUUUUUUGGCCAUGCCAAUCACAUGCGGAAGUUCCAGGCCAGGGAUCAAACCCAAGCCACAGCAGUGACAACACUAAAUCCUUAUCCGCUAGUUCACUAGGAGAAUUUUCAUUAGGGUUUUUAAUGUCUUAAAUGUGUAGGAAAAGUUUAGAACCACAAGCUCUUUAUGUUCAUAUGUUAAUGCAAAUAAUUGGAAGAUAAAUACUUAUCACUUAACCCUAUAUUUUACACUGUAUAUUUUUACACAAGAAAACUUUAUGUUUACUUUAAUCAUUUCCUCUCUAAUCUCAAAAAAAAAAAAAAAUUGGUCCAUUUGAAGUGAAGCUAAUGCAUUUGGAGUAUUCAAACACAGAAUUGAGGUAAAAGACUUAACCUUAAAAGGAAUAAAUUUGGCUGUGUUUUAUCUAAAGUAGAAUAUACUGCAAUAACAAAUAGACCUAAAUAGUAUAGGCACUAAAUGCGGUAAAGUACAUUUCCACUCAAUUAAUAUUCCUAGUACAGGACAGCAAGUGGGCUUUCUCCUACUGGAGGUUCAGUUCCUGAGGCUCUUUCCAUUUUAUGGUUCUGUCUCCACUGAUUACCUUGUUUUCAGGUUCGUCUACUCAGAGAAAGGAAGAGAAGACUUAGAGGAGGUAUAGCUUCUUUAAGGCAUCGGACUGGAUAUCUCAUACAAGAUGAAGCCAUUCUCUUGACUAGGACUUUGCAGCAAUGUCAAACACAACAUCUGAAAGUUUCCUGGAUUGUCAACUGUUGCAGAUGACACACAGCCAGCAUGGGGGUUACUGAUUUGAGAAGUCUCCCCUGAUGUACUGAGGACAGAGACGACUAUGCUGCCCUUUUUAGGGUCCUACAGUGGAAGUUGUCACAGAGGAGAGAGAUCGAGUUCAACUCCCCUACUACAAAUCCCCACAGCAAUAUUCUGCUCGAAUAAAGUCUGAGUUAUACUCUUUAACAAAUAUCAGAAUAUUUUUUCGUUAACAAGGUUGAUAGCCACAAAGACAGCAAUAAAUGAGAAUGAGUUUAAGAAAGUUCUUUUAACCAGAAUAUUUGUAAUAAAAUAUCUCCCAUUGAAACACCUUAUUUCAAUAAACCACCUUUUCAGACAUGUGCAAAUAACACCUUAGCAAACUCAAUUUCCUUUGGGGAGGGAAAAAAAAGGAAUUUUGAAGAUGAAAAUAUGUGAUGUUUCCAUGAUUUAAAAAUGUUCAAUAUAUCUAAGAAUUCAGGUUGAGAAGUGGAUAAUUUGGUCAGGUAUUUUUUGCUUCUUGUUGAAACUUUUAACAUAGAAUGACCAGUCUAGAUAAACAAAACGGAACAGUCUUAAUUAAACUUAGAAGUUAAUUAAGGACUUAAUUAAACUUAAAAGUUUCUGCACAGCAAAGGAAACCCUAAACAAAACAAAAAGACAACCCACAGAAUGGGAGAAAAUACUUGCAAAUGAAGUGACUGACGAGGAAAUAAUCCCCAAAAUUUAUAAACACCUUCUGCAGCUCAAUACCAAAAAAACAAAAAACCCCAUCAAAAAAUGGGCAAAAAACCUAAAUGGAAAUAGACAAUUCCCCAAAGAAGACAUACAGAUGGCCAAAAAACACAUGAAAAGAUGUUCAACAUCACUAAUUAUUAGAGAAAUGCAAAUCAAAACCCCUAUGAGGUACCACAUUACACCAGCCAGAAUGACCAUCAUCAAAAAGUCUACAAAUAAUUAGUGCUGGAGAGGCUAUGGAAAAUUGGAGGGAAUGUAAAUUGGUGCAACCACUCUGCAAAACAGUAUGGAGAUUCCUCAGAAAACCAAAAACAGAAUUACCAUUUGAUCUAGCAGUCCCACUCCUGGGCAUCUAUCCAGAGAAUACCAUGACUUGAAAAGACACAUGUACUCCACUGUUCACUGCAGCACUAUAUACAAUAUCCAAGACAUGGAAACAACCUAAAUGUGCAUUGACAGAGACGUGCAUAAAGAAGAUAUGGUACAUAUACACAAUGGAAUAUUACUCAGCCAUUAAAAGGAAAGAAAUAACCACAUUUGCAGCAACAUGGAUGGACCUAGAAAUUAUCAUGGUAAGUGAAGUCAUUCAGACAGCAAGACACCAACAUCAUAUCUAUCACUUCAUGUGAAAUCUAAAAACAAGGACACAGUGAACUUCUUUGCAGAACAGAUACUGACUCACAGACUUUUAAAAACUAGUGGUUUCCAAAUGAACCUGUUUGGGGGGUGGGGAGAUGCACUGGGGGUUUGGGAUGGAAAUGCUGUAAAAUUUGGUUGUGAUGAUCAUUGUCAACUAUAAAUGCAAUAAAAUGCAUUGAG